rnacentral:rRNA from 1 species
GUGUCAGCCGCCGCGGUAAUACGUAGGUGGCAAGCGUUGUCCGGAAUUAUUGGGCGUAAAGCGCGCGCAGGUGGUUCCUUAAGUCUGAUGUGAAAGCCCACGGCUCAACCGUGGAGGGUCAUUGGAAACUGGGGAACUUGAGUGCAGAAGAGGAAAGUGGAAUUCCAAGUGUAGCGGUGAAAUGCGUAGAGAUUUGGAGGAACACCAGUGGCGAAGGCGACUUUCUGGUCUGUAACUGACACUGAGGCGCGAAAGCGUGGGGAGCAAACAGGAUUAGAAACCCGAGUAGUCC